rnacentral:rRNA from 1 species
AGUACGUGAAACUGUAUAGUAGUAAACGGAGGGGCUCUCGAAGUCGGCGGUGGCGGUUCAGGGUGACGGCGGGGCGGCCUGGGGGUUUGGGAUCCGCAAGGACCCUGCCCCUUUGUCGGCUCUGUCGGCGCCUGCACUUCGCUGCCGCCUCACGCGACGAACCGUUCUUUUCGGACCGAGGGCGUGGGUGAAGUUUGUUGGCCUCGGUUGGCAAGCCCCGCGUUCCUGGCUCUGGAGGGGACGGGUAUUUGAGUGGUCUCGUAUAGCGAGUGAUAUCCUAUCACGGGCCGCAUCUCUGUCGCGAGUAGGUCGGUGGCCCUUUCGACCCGUCUUGAAACAAGAACCACA